rnacentral:tRNA from 1 species
GGAGGGAUGGCCGAGUGGUUGAAGGCGACGGUCUUGAAAACCGUUGAGCGUGAGAGCGUUCCGUGGGUUCGAAUCCCACUCCCUCCUCCA